rnacentral:lncRNA from 1 species
UGUCCAGCAGCAACUCGCAAUAAAGCUCUCCUAAUCCGGGAGUCAUUAUUUUCAUAAACCCCCAUUUGAGCCCUCAUUAGCUCCCCAACAGUCAAUGGCCUCUUCCCCUUCCCCGGGGACGGACUACCCCCCAGAACCCGGACUCAAACCCGAACUGGAGCUAGAUCGAAGCCCUAACGCCUUUUUCAUUUUCGAAGCGGCAGUAGAAGUGAUGGAUCGGUGCUGCACCGAUGGCGAGCUCGAUAGCGAUGACGGCAACGGAGAUGGAGACUCACGGUCGACGCUGUUUCUGGGAAUGUAUGUGAGGGGCUGGCCGGAGGAUGUACGGCAGGCGGCGACGAAGAUCUCGUAGGCGGUGUCACGGAGGUCGGCGGCGGAUAGAGUAUGUGUUAUGUCUCUGAAUAAUGACGGAGGAUGUACGGCAGGCGGCGACGAAGAUCUCGUAGGCGGUGUCACGGAGGUCGGCGGCGGAUAGAGUAUGUGUUAUGUCUCUGAAUAAUGUGAUAUGUUUAGAUUUUUAAAUGUAUCAAAUGCUAUAGUUGUAAAUGUUCUAAAUAUUAAUAAAUAAUCGAACAUAUCUUAAAUAUUGAUAAAAUAAA